AUUUGAUGAUUGUAUCUACGUUGCUAUUAAAAUACUACAUUUCAUUUGUUUUCGUCUGUACAAAGUCCUGAAGAAGUUUCGUUCAUUAUUUUAAGUAACACAAAAACCUUUGAACGAACAAAAUAAUCGUUUCUGCUGUUGGACUAAUCAUAAAAUCUAUUUGCAAGAUAAGAUGCAUGAAAGAAAUUUUGAAACAAGCGAAGGAACUUCCUCACUGCUUGAUAGGGAAAGAAAUAACAAUGGAAGGUGGACAUUCUCUUUCUUCAAAGUAUAUUUGUGAAAAAUUUUGUAAUCCUGAAAAAUUCUUCUUUAUAAUGCUUCAAUAAAC